rnacentral:lncRNA from 1 species
CACCCGUAGAGCUUCCUCUGUGCAGAACUCGCUUCCUACUCUCUGAUCCUCCCCUUUUCAGGUCUGAACGUUUGUUUCUUUCAAGAGUGAGGGUGGAAAUACUCUCACGGGGCUGGGAUUCUUGUUUGGCAGGUGUUUCUGAAGCGUAGUUAGCCGCUGUCCCUUAGCCCUCACGCUCGCACUGCUCCGAUGUCAAGUCUGCGUCACUCUCCUGCCCCUGACCGCGAGCUCUGUUCCUCCGGCAGACUGCGUUUUCUCUUCAUCUUUGCUGCUUUCUCCUCGAGGAUUUCUCGGAGACCUUGUAUGAAUAUGCCCUUCUCCAGAGAAGGUCAUGUCUGCACCUGCCAGGCCGCUGGCGGCACCUAGUCGGAACCACAUCAGACCCAGCUCGGCCUGGAGUCCUUGGUGCCACUUGGGUCAUCUGCUGUGCAAGGACCAGUCUGUGGUCACCACUCCUCAGUUUUAUUUCUGCAGGAACCAGCACCGUGAUUCUGGAGGCCGCACUCCUGACCGGGCGUUGGCAGCAAAUUCCUUCGUCAGUGGGACUGGUUUAGCGAAGACCGAAAUGUUCGUGCGCAGCGGACACGGGGUUUCACUGGGGCGCCGGCGCAUGCCGGUGACUUGUCUUGAGAACAGCCACUCAGAGAAAUUGGUUUGAGAAAUGGCAUGAAAUCAAUUAAAACUCAACAUCUUUCUUCCGCCAACAUUUGGGAGGAAAUGAAAGCAAAGCAGGCUUUGGCAAAAAGCCAGCAGGCCGCAGCGACGUCAGGUUAGGAAGGAGGACUGAGGGGGAAGCCAGAGGCAACCUGCUGGUCCCCGCGAAGGGCGCGUGGGGUCUGAGCCGCUGGCGCCACGCAGCCCUUCUCGGAGCCACUCGAUCGUCACUCACUGUGGUUUAAUUAACGCUUGCUCUCACUUCACUGACUUUUUUUUUCCAUCUGAAAUUCUGCCUGAACUUGGGAGCCAG